UACAGAGGGUGCAAGCGUUAAUCGGAUUUACUGGGCGUAAAGCGUGUGUAGGUGGCUUGUUAAGUCGAUUGUGAAAUCCCUGGGCUCAACCUGGGAAUUGCAGUCGAUACUGGCAAGCUAGAGUUCGGUAGAGGGCGACGGAAUUCCCGGUGUAGCGGUGAAAUGCGUAGAUAUCGGGAGGAACAUCGAUGGCGAAGGCAAUCGCCUGGGCCUGAACUGACACUGAGACACGAAAGCGUGGGUAGCAAACAGG
rnacentral:rRNA from 1 species